UGCGUAGAUAAACCUUUAUAGUUAGAAAGAGUCUAAAUGUUGGUGUCUGUAAGCACAAUAAGUAAAUGAGUUUGGUUUUUCCUUCCAAAAUAACUGAACGUUCACUUUAAAUAUAAUGUUAGCCAGCUUUGAAUCCAGAAUAUUUACAUCUUGCAGACUGUGUCUUGCAGCCUCUGAAUCAACUGACUGGGAGCAUCCGUCUCUGCGUGCAGGGCUGCUGAAAGGUGGGAGCAGAGAUAAAAGACAGGAGAUGGGAAGAAACAAAGGGAGCCAAGAGAUUUCAUAGAAUGCUGCAAGAGACAUUCUUUUGAUCUAUUUGGACUCCUCCAAGGCGGGAUCCAGAGAAAGAAGAGUGGCAGGUUGGAGACCACACCCCUAGA
rnacentral:lncRNA from 1 species